rnacentral:rRNA from 1 species
GUCUACGGCCAUGGCAUCCUGAACAAGCCCGAUAUCUGAUCUCGGAAGCUAAGCAGGGCUGGGCCUGGUUAGUACUUGGUUGGGAGACCACCUUGGAAGACCAGGUGCUGUAGGCA